rnacentral:lncRNA from 1 species
CUCUGAAGUCAUAUUCCCCUGUUUUCACGUGCUCGGUGCAGCAGUGCAGAAAUGCUGGAGCAGAUGAUCAUAGCAAUGGCUGUUCUCAUUACCCUCUUCUAUGCUGAACUUACUGAAUCCUCCUCAAGCUGCAGUCUCCACAAAGCCGAAAUAAAAAGAGUGGAUGAAAAUGCAACAGCAUUUGUGUCCUGCCCAGCACUUGCAGAGCAUGAAAACCCAUCUAUCUCUCUAUACAAGGGAGAUACAAAGCUGCACUCAACAAACCUGAGUGAUGUGGACAGUAAUCGUUCAUGGCAGCGGUUUCAGGUAUACGUAGAAAACUCCUCCGUCUCAUUUAAGAUUCUAAGGACUGAAGCCAGUGACACAGGACUCUACAAUUGCAAAAUCGACACACAAAUCAGGACAUCUGCAUCCCAGACUAUAUUGCUCAUUAAAGAUGCUCUGCAGCCCAUAGAAUCAACUGUCACUUGUCCCAUUGAUCAGACACUGCCACUUGCUGUUGGCUGUGGGGUCAUCUUUGCAUAUGAUCUGAUCAUCACUGUCUUCGUCUGUUACCUCAAAUAUAAACUCAAGAACACAGAGCCACCUGAGAAUCCCUACAUAAACACAAGACCAAGAGGAUUCCAACGACGCUGAUGAGCUCAGCAGCAUUUAUCCAGCAAAUAUCAGCAGUGUAGCAACAUUUGUACCUCCUAUCAGCUGAGCAGUACUGCCCAGAGAGUGUAUUAAACAGAUCUACUAAUUGUUCUUGUAUCUAUUGCUGUUCAGUAUAUAUGAUAGAUAUUGUAUAGUAUAUUUACACUGGGGGUCAAAGGUUUGGAAUCAUUAGGAUUUUUAAUGUUUUUGUUAGAAGUCUCUUAUGCUCAACAAGUCUGCAUUUAUUUGAUCAAAAAUAAAGGGAAACAGUAAUAUUGUGACAUAUUAUUACAAAAUAACUGUUUUUCAUUUGUAUGCAUUUUAAAAUGUAAAUUAUUCCUGUGAAGACAAAGCUAAGUUUCAGCAGCCAUUACUCAAGUGUCACAUUAUUAUCCUUUAGAAAUCAUCCGAAAUAUGCUCAUUUGGUGCGGAAGAAACAUGACUUAUUAGUAUGUUUUUAUUAAGAAAUUCAUAAUAAAGCAAGGAUGCAUUAAAUUGCUCAAAAGUAACAGUAAAAAGAUUUAAUGUUAGAUGUUUAUUUAAUGUUUCUCAUGUUAGAAAAAAUAUUUUUUGCUGUCCUUUAGCAGGGAGUUUUUUAACUGCUGGAUACUUCACCUGUUUUCACCAUUUAUAAUAUUAAGAAAUGUUUCUUGAGCAGCAAGUUGCCAUAUUAGAAUGAUUUUGAUCCCCAGUGGGUGUGUAUUUUCAUUGAAACACUAUGACGC